rnacentral:rRNA from 1 species
AGAGUUUGAUCCUGGCUCAGAUUGAACGUUGGCGGCAUGCCUUACACAUGCAAGUCGAACGGCAGCGCGGGGCAACCUGGCGGCGAGUGGCGAACGGGUGAGUAAUAUAUCGGAACGUACCCUGGAGUGGGGGAUAACGUAGCGAAAGUUACGCUAAUACCGCAUACGAUCUAAGGAUGAAAGUGGGGGAUUCGCAAGAACCUCAUGCUCCUGGAGCGGCCGAUAUCUGAUUAGCUAGUUGGUGGGGUAAAGGCCUACCAAGGCAUCGAUCAGUAGCUGGUCUGAGAGGACGACCAGCCACACUGGAACUGAGACACGGUCCAGACUCCUACGGGAGGCAGCAGUGGGGAAUUUUGGACAAUGGGCGAAAGCCUGAUCCAGCAAUGCCGCGUGAGUGAAGAAGGCCUUCGGGUUGUAAAGCUCUUUUGUCAGGGAAGAAACGGUGAGAGCUAAUAUCUCUUGCUAAUGACGGUACCUGAAGAAUAAGCACCGGCUAACUACGUGCCAGCAGCCGCGGUAAUACGUAGGGUGCAAGCGUUAAUCGGAAUUACUGGGCGUAAAGCGUGCGCAGGCGGUUUUGUAAGUCUGUCGUGAAAUCCCCGGGCUCAACCUGGGAAUUGCGAUGGAGACUGCAAGGCUAGAAUCUGGCAGAGGGGGGUAGAAUUCCACGUGUAGCAGUGAAAUGCGUAGAUAUGCGGAGGAACACCGAUGGCGAAGGCAAUCCCCUGGACCUGUACUGACGCUCAUGCACGAAAGCGUGGGGAGCAAACAGGAUUAGAUACCCUGGUAGUCC